CAUGUAUGCUCAAGCUCUCUAAAGGGACAGAAGUAAAACAUCGAGGACACUGUCCUUUUACAGCUCGAAGACUGCCUCUGGAUACACCAUGGAAGAUAGAUAUAUCAUCUUACAACUAAAAAUCCCCAACACUGCGAGGCAGAUGUGGUCUAUAACUGUGUGCUUGUGGGAAAAUACAUAAAUUCAUCACAAACUGAGAUAAGAUGCUGUACACUAAACUGUUGUGGUUCCUCCAAUUCAGUCAGAAACCAACCAAAUUCUGAAAAAGUGGAAGACUUAACUUCAAUGGAGUCAUCUAUGAGAUAUAGAACGAAAAGGAUAGUGACAAACAUACACGGAGACUAAGUGUGAAACAAGGAAAGUGACGAGAAGGAAGAAAAAAUGAUAAGUAUCUUAGUUCAGCCUCAGUUGUAAAAUGGAAUGAAACAGUAUAUGAUCACUCAGGCACUGCAAAGUCAACAUCUCACAAUGGCCUGAGCUACCUGAGAUUACAAAAUACAAGAAUAUCUUAGUUACUAAUUAACAAGACAAUUCACUGUGGUAGACAGUUUGCUGCUUUUAAAGCUGAUGAUCACUGAAGAAAUAUUUCACUGAACAUUGCAGGAAUACUAUAAGAUGAAAAAUUCAAUUCAGGUAAUAUGGACUAAAGUCAAUUUUUACAUAGGGUACCAGCUGGAAAACAACCAAUAUGCAAACUGGAAGCCAGAUGCAUGCAUGUACAAUAUCUGACACUGAAACCCCUAUCCAUGCCUUUAUUACCCUGGACUGUUCCAAUUGCAGCCAUUUCUCCCCAUAUGUAUAUAUGUACCCAAUAUAGGGCAGGGUAGUUACAUUGAAAUUAUAUGCCAGUCACUUAAAGCAGUGUGGUCUUGAAUCAUGAGUUCAUUUCAUUCAUCUCCAUUCAAGCCAGAGAUAUUGUUGUCACAAGCAUGGUAUGGAUUUGUAAAGGGUAUGUUAUGUGGAACAAAUUUAGUGGAAUGUUUUGAGGACAGCGCUAGCCAUGCUGAUAAGGUCCAUAUAGUGUCACCCACUGGUACCAAACUCACAUCUGAAUAAGAAUAUUGUGGGUUCAAGUCCCACUCUAGAGGCUUGAGCACAAAAAGUCUGUGUAAUAUGCAGGAAGUGCUAUUUAUUGGAUGAAACGUCUGCCCUCUUAGGAGUCUGUAAAGUAUCUCAUGGCUCUAAAUCACAGAAAUGCAAGAGGCCUCUCCCCAGUCAAUGUCACACAAUCAAUUUUAGGUGAUUGGUUCAAGUUGGUGUUUAGGAUAAUCGGCCCUUCAUAAAUUGACUACUGCAAUUCCUACACAAAACACUGAUUACACUAUGAAAGUAGUGAAGCUGCUUGUGAAAUACUUUGGGACUUCUUAAAAGAUGUAACAUGAAUAUCUUCUUUCCAAGGUAUUACUCAUUCUAGGAGGCAUGACUUUUCACAUGAAAGUGAAAGGUUACCAAAAAUGAGGGGGCAUAGAAAGUGAAGCAACUAAUCAUUUUGGAAAACAUGUUACUUAGGAGGAUGGAGACAGAAAGUAGGGAUAAUGGUUAUGUGUCCAAAUUAGCAAGUGAUCUCCAAGAUCCAUAAUGGAAUCACAACUUUUCACUAUGGAAUCAAAUUGAUUGCAAGAAUAGAGAGCACUACAUACAAGUUCCUUGGCGUGAUGAUAACCACCAACCUGUGCUGGACUUCCCAAAUACAUAUGACAGAGUAAAAGGCACCACAAUGCCUCUUCUUCCUCAGGCUGCUCAGGAAGAUCGGCACAUCCAUAACUUCUAUAGAUGCACAAUUGAAAGUGUACAGUCCGGGUGCAUUAUAGCUUGGUACGGCAACUGCUCUGCCAGGAUCAUAAGAAACUACAGAAGGUGGUUCACAUAGCCCAGGCCAUCACAGAAGCCAACUUUCCAUCCAUGGUCUCUAUUUACACAGAUCACUGCCGCAGAAAGGCUGCCAACAUCAUCAACAUGAUCUCCUACAAUUUCUUCCACCAGGCAGAAAAUACAGAAGCUGAACACACACUUAAGCAGAUUCAGGAACAGCUUCUUCCUAGCCAUUAUCAGGCUGAUGAAUGUACUCUCUAGCCUCAAAUAAUGCUGACCUUGCUAAUGUUGAUCUUGCCUAGUGCACACCCUGUGCAAUGUAACCUGUGUGCUUCUGUCUAAGUCUUUUUGAUCUGCACAUCCUUGCUUACAAUAAUCUGCUUGUACUACUCAUAAACAAAUUUUUUCACUGUACUUAGAUACACGUGACAAUCAAACAGUUAAAAGGGACCCAAGCGGUAACUUUUUCACACAGAGUAUGGUGCGUGAAUGGAACGAGCUGCCAGAGGAAAUGUGGAGGCUGGCACAGUUACAACAUUUAAAAGGCAUCUGGAUGGGUAUAUGAAUAGGAAGAGCUUAGAGGGAUUUGGGCCAAAAGCUGGCAAAUGGGACUAGGUCAGAUUGGGAUGUCUGGUUGGCAUGGACGCGCUGGACUGAAGAAUCUGUUUCCAUGCUGCAUUACUCUAUGACUCUGUGAAAAGCUGUUGAAAUCAAGAAUCAAUCAAGACAUUUGGGGAAUGUAAAUUAUAAUUUCUUUGUUAGGCUAUGGAACUAUGGCAUAUAGAUGAAGUUAAGAAAUCAAUUGACCUUUGAAUAAUUAAAAAGCAAACAGGUUUGAGGGAUUGAAUGGCUUCAUCUUGCUCCUGUAGGAUUAUGUAAUGGUAAAACAUUGAAAGAAGCUAUUCAGUCCAUUGUUUCGAAAAGUCAACUUUUCAAAAACGUAUUCAUUAAUCUAUCUUCUUUUCUCUUUCUUCAUGGCUCAGCAAUUAUUUUCCAUUAUGCAUAUUUAUCCCAUUCAAUAUUGAAAGGUAUUAUGGAGUUUGAGUCCAUCACCCUUUCAGACAGCGAAUCCAGACCAGAGCAUCUCACUGCUAAAAAAACCAUUCAAUUCACCCUUGCUUGGAUGUACUGAAUAUAAUUUUGAAGUUUAUAAAUGAUAAACAAUGUUUGUGAUGUAGUAAAUAGGACUGCAAGGGGAUAUAGACAGGCUUGUGAAAUAUGUAGACGUGUGAUGGAAGCAAUUGAAUUUAGAUAAGUGUGAAGUGAUAUAUUUCAACACAGACAACUUGGAGAAGCAGUAUCAUUUAAAUGAUACAAUGAUGAAUUAAGAUGCAAGAAUGUUGAUGAAUCUGAGGUUCACAUUCACAAACACCUGAAGUUUGUUAGGUAUAUUGAAAAGGUACUAAAAAGUGUUGGUAUUAGAAAAAGUACGGUAAAGAUUCAAUAGAAUGAUUCCAGGGAAAAGGGACUUUAGUUAUGAAGAUAAUUUGAGAAGUUUGGACUGUUUCCCUUUGUGAAGAGAAGCAGAGAUGAAAUUUGAUAAAGAUAUUGAAACAGAGAGAGUUAAUAGGGAGAAACGUGUGAUAGGAUCAAAGAUGAGCAGACACAAAUGUUAGAGUAAUUGGUAAAGGAAGAAAACACAUGUGGGAAAUCUUUUUUCAAACAGUGGUCUGGAAUGCAUUGCAUGCGUAUGGUGAAGCCAGAUUCAAUGAAACAUUCAAUACAGAAUUAAAAUGUUAUUUAGGAGGAAUAGUGGAGUUAGGGGAAGAAUGCAAGAGAACUGCAUUAAUUGAAAUGCUUGUACAGAGAGCUAAUGCAGACAAAAUGGACUGAGUGGCCUCUUUCUUUUCUGUAACAAAAUUUAGCGGCUGUGUGUAUGGGACACGAGUUUGUCAAUGUGACUAUUGGGCACACAAACUAAUACUAAGUCUUUACAAUUUACUGCUUGGGCCUCAGUCAGAGUAUUUAGAAAGAAUGUUAAGGUCCUGAAGAGGGUAGAGAGCAGAUUUACCAAGAGACACCAGGGAUGAAGAAGUUCAGUUAUGUGGAAAAAUUUGAGUUUUACUCUUUACAAGCAGGGGAGGUGAGGGAAAGACCCGUAGGUCUGAAAAUAAGGCAAGUAGUGAGAAAUUGCUUUUGUAGCUUGAAUUGGUGGUAAGAUGUUAUAAAUUUAAAACAAAGGAAAAAUUAUCUGAGGGUAAAUAUCAGACAAUUUUUUCAUGCACAGUGUUGCUGAAACCCAAAACACGCAAUUCGAUAUUGCAGAAUCAGAUUCCGUAGUGACUUUCAAAGGAUAUUAGUCAUUUAUUUGAGAAUAGCAAAUUUGCAGCAUUAGGGAAGUUGGGGAAUGAGAUUAAUUGGCUAGAUCUUCCAAACAGCCAACACCAGACAUGGCAGAACUCCUUUUUGCUGCAGAAUCUCUUAUUUAAUAAAUCCAUGUGCUUUUUUUUUAAACAGUCUUUAAAUUACAAUAUGCCCCCUUCAAAGACUUGAUAAUAUAUUCCUCCAGAUGUAUCUGUUCCUAAACCUGUUUUAAAAUUGUAACAUAUGUAUUGCUCCUUUUCAUUCUUUCCACCAAAAUUAACCUAUGGAACAUAUGCACCACCAUUCAGCUGCCACACAUUUGUCCAUUUCACUAGUCUAUUCAUGCCCUCUUGAUAUCUGCUAAUAUUCUGAUCACUGCUUAGUAUCUUUCAAAGUUUCAUGUCAUCUGCAAACUUUGUAAUUACACCCUGUGUGCACAAGUCUGCUUCAUUAAUAUAUAUGGAUGUAUAUUAUGUUUGUAUAUAUACAGGGGCAGUAGUCCUAACACAGAGGCCUGAGGAGAGCCAUUCCUCAUUUCACAAUAUAUGGAGUACCUAUCAAAAAUUCAUACAGCAUGUGCCCUGUCAAUAAGCCUUUGGGUGGCUGAAAAACAAUUAAUCAAAAACCUUUACUGAUUUUACAGGGUGACUGGUGUAACUGAGUUUCACCCAAUGUUUCAUCUGAGUGUGGCCACACUGCAACUCAAAAAUUCCACACACAAUGUUCAACACAUCUGCAAUUGCCCCCCAAAAAAUUUAAAGACACCAGGCCCUUAAAUGAGUUGCUGUUCGAUCAUAUAAAAAAAUGAGAGCAUACAUCAGUUUGAUCUGAUUUACAUUUAAGCAAAAUGAUAUUGGCUCCAUAAGACAGAAAAUGUGUCCAAGGAAAAUCCUAACCCAGAGGGAUGGCUGACUUUCUCACUCUUUGUAAAGGUCUGUAACACUAAAAUAAACAUCAAUUAAAUUAUAACUUUUCUAGAGUUGCAUGACCCCACAUUUAUCUUAACUAGAAAUCAAUAGCUCUCACCAA